AGGCAGCAGUGGGGAAUAUUGGGCAAUGGACGAAAGACUGACCCAGCGACGCCGCGUGCGGGAUGAAGGCCUUCGGGUUGUAAACCGCUUUCAGCAGGGAAGAAGCGAAAGUGACGGUACCUGCAGAAGAAGCACCGGCUAACUAUGUGCCAGCAGCCGCGGUAAUACAUAGGGUGCAAGCGUUGUCCGGAAUUAUUGGGCGUAAAGAGCUCGUAGGUGGUUCGUUACGUCGGAUGUGAAAAUCUGGGGCUCAACCCCAGACCUGCAUUCGAUACGGGCGAGCUUGAGUUUGGUAGGGGAGACUGGAAUUCCU
rnacentral:rRNA from 1 species